UCUAAUAUGGCAGAAAAGUGCAUUGGAUUUAAACCCCAAUUAUAAAGUUAUACUUUUUUUAGAA
rnacentral:tRNA from 1 species